rnacentral:rRNA from 1 species
AGAGUUUGAUCCUGGCUCAGGAUGAACGCUGGCGGUCUGCUUAACACAUGCAAGUCGAACGGACUCUUCGGAGUUAGUGGCGGACGGGUGAGUAACGCGUGAGAAUUUAGCUUCAGAAUGGGGACAACAGAGGGAAACCGCUGCUAAUACCCGAUGUGCCGAGAGGUGAAAGAUUUAUCGUCUGAAGAUGAGCUCGCGUCCGAUUAGCUAGUUGGUAGGGUAAGAGCCUACCAAGGCGACGAUCGGUAGCUGGUCUGAGAGGAUGACCAGCCACACUGGGACUGAGACACGGCCCAGACUCCUACGGGAGGCAGCAGUGGGGAAUUUUCCGCAAUGGGCGAAAGCCUGACGGAGCAAGACCGCGUGAGGGAGGAAGGCUCUUGGGUUGUAAACCUCUUUUCUCAAGGAAGAAGAUCUGACGGUACUUGAGGAAUCAGCAUCGGCUAACUCCGUGCCAGCAGCCGCGGUAAUACGGAGGAUGCAAGCGUUAUCCGGAAUUAUUGGGCGUAAAGCGUCCGUAGGUGGCCGUUCAAGUCUGCCGUUAAAACCAGUGGCUUAACCACUGACAGGCGGUGGAAACUGAAUAGCUAGAGUGUGGUAGGGGUAGAGGGAAUUCCCAGUGUAGCGGUGAAAUGCGUAGAGAUUGGGAAGAACACCGGUGGCGAAAGCGCUCUGCUGGACCACAACUGACACUCACAGGACGAAAGCUAGGGGAGCGAAAGGGAUUAGAUACCCCUGUAGUCCUAGCCGUAAACGAUGGAUACUAGGUGUUGUGAGUAUCGACCCUCACAGUGCCGGAGCCAACGCGUUAAGUAUCCCGCCUGGGGAGUACGCACGCAAGUGUGAAACUCAAAGGAAUUGACGGGGGCCCGCACAAGCGGUGGAGUAUGUGGUUUAAUUCGAUGCAACGCGAAGAACCUUACCAGGACUUGACAUGUCGCGAAUCUUGGGGAAACCUAAGAGUGCCUUCGGGAGCGCGAACACAGGUAGUGCAUGGCUGUCGUCAACUCGUGUCGCGAGAUGUUGGGUUAAGUCCCGCAACGAGCGCAACCCUCGUUUUUAGUUGCCAGCAUUAAGUUGGGCACUCUAAAGAGACUGCCGGUGACAAACCGGAGGAAGGUGGGGAUGACGUCAAGUCAGCAUGCCCCUUACGUCCUGGGCUACACACGUACUACAAUGCUACGGACAAAGGGCAGCAAGUAAGCGAUGACAAGCAAAUCCCAUAAACCGUGGCUCAGUUCAGAUUGUAGGCUGCAACUCGCCUACAUGAAGGCGGAAUCGCUAGUAAUCCCAGGUCAGCAUACUGCAGUGAAUCCGUUCCCGGGCCUUGUACACACCGCCCGUCACACCAUGGAAGCUGGCCACGCCCGAAGUCGUUACUCCAACUGGCAACAGAGGAGGACGCCGAAGGCAGGGCUGGUGACUGGGGUGAAGUCGUAACAAGGUAACC